CAGCCGCGUUGUCUAGGGAUCAACCUUGCUUUUGUGGGGUGUACUUCCUAGUCAAUGGGUCAACAUCAGUUUUGAUCACUGGAGAAAGGCUAGUUGAAUGUGGCAUCCUCGGAUGUGUUAUAGCUCCUUGCUGUAUACACUGGUUGGGAUUUGAGGUUUCAGUGCACGCUUCGGUUGUGCUUUGAUGCUGGCGUAAUAGCUUUAAGCGACCCGUCUUGAAACACGGACCAAGGAGUCUAAC
rnacentral:rRNA from 1 species